rnacentral:tRNA from 1 species
GUCUUCGUGGUGUAACGGUAGCACACUCGGUGCGUAUUCGAGAGGUCCAGGUUCGAGUCCCGUCGAGGACA